UUGGGGAUUUCCUGCCGGAGGAA
rnacentral:miRNA from 1 species